UCCCUUGCUCCUUCCCGCCUAUAUACCGCCGUCGUCAGUUUGCCCUUUGAAGGUCCCGUAGCAAGCACAAUUGGUACCGCCCAGAACGUCAGGUCGAGGUGUAGCUUAUGAGAGGGGAUGAGAUGGGCUACAUUUCCUGAAACAGGAUAUACGGAUAGUGAUUCUGAAAUGAACACUAGAAGGAGGAUUUAGUAGUAAGUAGAAAACAGAGAGUUCUGCUGAACCUGGCUCUUAAGCGUGCACACACCGCCCGUCACUCUCCCCGAGCAUAAUUAUGAACCCAUAAUUAAUACCCUAUUGAUUGCGUCAGGGGAGGCAAGUCGUAACAUGGUAAGUGUACCGGAAGGUGCACUUGGAUAAA
rnacentral:rRNA from 1 species